rnacentral:rRNA from 1 species
CAGUCGCCACGAUAAUACGGAGGGUCCAAGCGUUAUCCGGAAUCAUUGGGUUUAAAGGGUCCGUAGGCGGUCUUGUAAGUCAGUGGUGAAAGCCCAUCGCUCAACGGUGGAACGGCCAUUGAUACUGCAGGACUUGAAUUAUUGGGAAGUAACUAGAAUAUGUAGUGUAGCGGUGAAAUGCUUAGAGAUUACAUGGAAUACCAAUUGCGAAGGCAGGUUACUACCAAUUGAUUGACGCUGAUGGACGAAAGCGUGGGUAGCGAACAGGAUUAGAUACCCCAGUAGUCCCUGUCUCUUAUCC